UACGUAGGUGGCAAGCGUUGUCCGGAAUUAUUGGGCGUAAAGAGCUCGUAGGCGCUUGUCGCGUCGAUUGUGAAAGCCCGGGGGCUUAACUCCGGGUCUGCAGUCGAUACGGGCAGGCUAGAGUUCGGUAGGGGAGAUCGGAAUUCCUGGUGUAGCGGUGGGAAUGCGCAGAUAUCAGGAGGAACACCGGUGGCGAAGGCGGAUCUCUGGGCCGAUACUGACGCUGAGGAGCGAAAGCGUGGGGAGCAAACAGG
rnacentral:rRNA from 1 species